GCCCCCCUGGCGGAAUUGGUAGACGCGCGGGAUUCAAAAUCCCGUUCCUAACGGAGUGCCGGUUCGAUUCCGGCGGGGGGCA
rnacentral:tRNA from 1 species